AUGUCCCUUGGUGUGAGUUCAUCCACUGGAGCAUGGUCAGGCAUCAGUCCUUUAAAGCAGAUCAACUUUGUUUCACCCAGCAGUGAUCAGCUGUCAAUAGUUCCUUAGCUAAGUCUGGGGUCUACUGCUUAUUUCCCUAGUUCUAUACUGGGUUUUUGUCUGGUUGGAGUUUGCAUGGGUCUUGUGCAUGCUGUCACCUUUGCUGUAAGGUCAUAUGAGCAAGGUCUUGAAAAACUUCUAGGCAAUAUUACUGCCUCAUAUGCAUAAUAACUGUGCAGUCUAGGGGAGUGAUCACAUUACAGGAAGGUUGUCUGAGGGUGAUGGGAAAGCCCUCAGAGAAGGCUACGUGUCACAGCUCUCUCUGAGCCAACUAUGUGCCUCCAGCUUCUCUGCCUUGUGACCCUUUUUCUCUGGGAAGCAUGUUCCAUGGACACAGAAGUCAUCCAGAGUCCUAGACAUAUGGUCAAAGGAAAAGGACAGAAAGCCAAAAUUAAAUGUGUCCCUAUGACAGGACAUAGUUAUGUCUAUUGGUAUCACAAGAAGCUUGGAGAAGAGCUCAAGUUUUUGGUUUACUUUCAGAAUGCAGAUAUCAUAGAUAAAACAGAAAUGAUUAAUAAUCAAAUUUCAGCUGAAUGCUCCCCGAACUCCCGCUGCAC